rnacentral:lncRNA from 1 species
UGGAUUUCCUAUCCUUCUUUGGACCAAAGUUCCCAAUCGUCAUCUUUUCUUAUCUCUUGAAUUACUGGAGAUCUGUGUAAGCUAACUGGUGGAAUGUAGAAUAUAAGAAAAAGAAAGUCAGCUUGAAAAUUCUGUAAAUAUCUGUGUCAGAAACGAUUGAAAUAGGCCAAACCUGAAACUGUGAGAGCAAUUGGAGCAGGAAGUAGGAUGCUUGAGAGUUGAGAGCAAAUAGAAGAAAAUUUAGAACCCAAUACUUUGACCAGGAAUGAAAGAACCCAGAUGAAUCGCUACACAGGACAGCUGUAUAUAUACCCCAAAUAGCAGAACAAGCUACCACCAAUCAAAAGCGACGAAUGAUACACAAAAAUCGAAAAAAAAGCUUCGAUAUGGACAAAAGCCUUGAUAUAAACACUGCGAUGCAAAUAAACUCGCAGUCAGGACUAAUUUUCUCAAGGAAGAACGAGUUCGGAAAGAACCCGAAGUAAUCCCAGAAACAGGGACAGGAAAAGUUGCAACCUUGAGAGCAAGCAAAUAAUCGGAAACCAGAAUAUUCAAAGGAUUGGAAG